rnacentral:rRNA from 1 species
GACGAACGCUGGCGGCGUGCUUAACACAUGCAAGUCGAACGGUAAGGCCCUUUCGGGGGUCCACGAGUGGCGAACGGGUGAGUAACACGUGGGUGAUCUGCCCUGCACUUUGGGAUAAGCCUGGGAAACUGGGUCUAAUACCGGAUAGGACUACGCGAUGCAUGUCGUGUGGUGGAAGCUUUUGCGGUGUGGGAUGGGCCCGCGGCCUAUCAGCUUGUUGGUGGGGUGAUGGCCUACCAAGGCGACGACGGGUAGCCGGCCUGAGAGGGUGUCCGGCCACACUGGGACUGAGAUACGGCCCAGACUCCUACGGGAGGCAGCAGUGGGGAAUAUUGCACAAUGGGCGCAAGCCUGAUGCAGCGACGCCGCGUGGGGGAUGACGGCCUUCGGGUUGUAAACCCCUUUCAGCACAGACGAAGCGUAAGUGACGGUAUGUGCAGAAGAAGCACCGGCCAACUACGUG